UCGGGAAUAUUGCGCAAUGGAGGAAACUCUGACGCAGUGACGCCGCGUAUAGGAAGAAGGUUUUCGGAUUGUAAACUAUUGCCGUUAGGGAAGAAAAAGACAGUACCUAAGGAGGAAGCUCCGGCUAACUACGUGCCAGCAGCCGCGGUAAUACGUAGGGAGCAAGCGUUAUCCGGAUUUAUUGGGUGUAAAGGGUGCGUAGACGGGCGAUCAAGUUAGUUGUGAAAUCCCUCGGCUCAACUGAGGAACUGCAACUAAACUGGUUAGUCUUGAGUGCAGGAGAGGUAAGUGGAAUUCCUAGUGUAGCGGUGAAAUGCGUAGAUAUUAGGAGGAACACCAGUGGCGAAGGCGACUUACUGGACUGUAACUGACGUUGAGGCACGAAAGUGUGGGGAGCAAACAGGAUUAGAUACC
rnacentral:rRNA from 1 species